rnacentral:RNase_P_RNA from 1 species
GAAGGCUGGACGGCCGCGCGGGGGCUCAGGCUCUUUGCGAGGAAAGUCCGGACUCCCUAAAGCAACGGUGCCGGGUAACGCCCGGGCGGGGUGACCCGACGGAUAGCGCCACAGAAACAAACCGCCAUGUCGCGGGCGCCCCCGGGCACCUAGUGUGACAUGGUAAGGGUGAAACGGUGGGGUAAGAGCCCACCGCGCCGCUGGCAACAGGGGUGGCAAGGCAAGCCCCACCGGGAGCAAUGCCAAAUAGGGUCCCCGCGCAGGCAGGUCGGCGUCAGCCGAAACCGCUGCUAGGCUUGCUUUAGCCGAGAGGGACCGGGUUGGCAGCUAGAGGCACAUAGCAAUAUGUGCCGCAGAGGAAUGGUCGUCCAAGGAGCGCAAGCUCUGGGACAAAAUCCGGCUUACAGGCCUUCUG